UUGACGGGCCCGCACAAGCAGCGGAGCGUGUGGUUUAAUUCGAUGUUACACGAAGAACCUUACCAGGGUUUGACAUGCAAGUGGUAGGAACCGAAAGGUGACCGACCUUCGGGGAGCUUGCACAGGUGCUGCAUGGCUGUCGUCAGCUCGUGUCGUGAGAUGUUCGGUUAAGUCCGCUAACGAGCGCAACCCUCGCUGUGUGUUAUAUGUGUCACACGGGACUGCCGGUCUUAAGCCGGAGGAAGGUGGGAUGAUGUCAAGUCAGCAUGCCCCUUAUGUUCUGGGCUACACACGUGCUACAAUGGCCGGUACAGACGGACGCAAAGCCGCGAGGUGGAGCAAAUCCUAAAAAGCCGGUCUCAGUUCGGAUUGCAGGCUGCAAUUCGCCUGCAUGAAGUCGGAAUCGCUAGUAAUCGCAGGUCAGCAUACUGCGGUGAAUACGUUCCCGGGCCUU
rnacentral:rRNA from 1 species